GCCUUAGUGGUGUAACGGUGGCAUACUCGGCGUGUAUUUCGAGAAGUCCAGGUUCGAGUCCCGGCAAGGGCA
rnacentral:tRNA from 1 species